AACGCUGGCGGCGUGCCUAAUACAUGCAAGUAGAACGCUGAAGAGGGGAGCUUGCUCUUCUUGGAUGAGUUGCGAACGGGUGAGUAACGCGUAGGUAACCUGCCUUGUAGCGGGGGAUAACUAUUGGAAACGAUAGCUAAUACCGCAUAACAAUGGGUGACACAUGUCAUUUAUUUGAAAGGGGCAAUUGCUCCACUACAAGAUGGACCUGCGUUGUAUUAGCUAGUAGGUGAGGUAACGGCUCACCUAGGCGACGAUACAUAGCCGACCUGAGAGGGUGAUCGGCCACACUGGGACUGAGACACGGCCCAGACUCCUACGGGAGGCAGCAGUAGGGAAUCUUCGGCAAUGGGGGCAACCCUGACCGAGCAACGCCGCGUGAGUGAAGAAGGUUUUCGGAUCGUAAAGCUCUGUUGUAAGUCAAGAACGAGUGUGAGAGUGGAAAGUUCGCACUGUGACGGUAGCUUACCAGAAAGGGACGGCUAACUACGUGCCAGCAGCCGCGGUAAUACGUAGGUCCCGAGCGUUGUCCGGAUUUAUUGGGCGUAAAGCGAGCGCAGGCGGUUUGAUAAGUCUGAAGUUAAAGGCUGUGGCUCAACCAUAGUUCGCUUUGGAAACUGUCAAACUUGAGUGCAGAAGGGGAGAGUGGAAUUCCAUGUGUAGCGGUGAAAUGCGUAGAUAUAUGGAGGAACACCGGUGGCGAAAGCGGCUCUCUGGUCUGUAACUGACGCUGAGGCUCGAAAGCGUGGGGAGCGAACAGGAUUAGAUACCCUGGUAGUCCACGCCGUAAACGAUGAGUGCUAGGUGUUGGAUCCUUUCCGGGAUUCAGUGCCGCAGCUAACGCAUUAAGCACUCCGCCUGGGAGUACGA
rnacentral:rRNA from 1 species